rnacentral:tRNA from 1 species
CUUGGUGUAGCUCAAUCUGGUAGAGUACCGCGUUUGGGGCGCGGGAGUUGUUGGUUCAAAUCCAACCACCAAGACCA